CCUACGGGAGGCUGCAGUGGGGAAUAUUGGACAAUGGGGGGAACCCUGAUCCAGCGACGCCGCGUGAGUGAAGAAGUAUUUCGGUAUGUAAAGCUCUAUCAGCAGGGAAGAAAGAAAUGACGGUACCUGACUAAGAAGCCCCGGCUAACUACGUGCCAGCAGCCGCGGGAAUACGUAGGGGGCAAGCGUUAUCCGGAUUUACUGGGUGUAAAGGGAGCGUAGACGGCGAUGCAAGUCUGAAGUGAAAGGCGGGGGCCCAACCUCCGGACUGCUUUGGAAACUGGAUGGCUGGAGUGCAGGAGAGGUAAGUGGAAUUCCUAGUGUAGCGGUGAAAUGCGUAGAUAUUAGGAGGAACACCAGUGGCGAAGGCGGCUUACUGGACUGUAACUGACGUUGAGGCUCGAAAGCGUGGGGAGCAAACAGGAUUAGAUACCCUUGUAGUC
rnacentral:rRNA from 1 species